rnacentral:lncRNA from 1 species
AUCGUUAAGUUCUUAAAAGUGUUCACGACCAAAUGAUAUGCUAUUAAUAGGAUGAUAAAAAUAUUGAGUAUAGGUCGCUGUGUACCAUAUGAGUUGGUUGUCCUCUUAACCAAGAAGUAUGGAGACACUAUUAUAACAUGCAGAUGGAAUGUAAGAGUAUAUUUAUAUCGAACGUGACCAUUUGCCAAGUACUCUGCUAUCAAGAGUAGCUUGUGAAGGAUAUGGGUAUAAAUAUCCCUUA